AGAGGAAGAAGAGCGAGAAGAAGAGAGGAAGGAGAGAGAGAAGAAGAGAGGAAGGAGAGAGAGUAGAAGAGAGGAAGGAGGAAACAGAGAGCCUAGGAGAACUCUUUGUCACAAGCAUACUGCUUUCCAUGGACGUGCCCACUAGUGCCCUGUAGGGCUGGGUAUUGUGGGGAAGGGCUCUCCAAGCAGCCUGGUUGGCUAGGCUGGGACUGGUGGCGACUGGGGGCCUGGGAGACGUUCGCCAAGGAGGCAAAUUGAGAGCAUCCUGUCGGGCUGUAUCACCGCCUGGUACGGCAACUGCGCCGCCCACAACCACAGGUCUCUCCAGAGGGUGGUGAGGUCUGCACAGCGCAUCACCGGGGGAAAACUACCUGCCCUCCAGGACACUUACAGCACCUGAUGUCACAUGAAGGCCAACAAGAUAAUCAAGCAUAACAACCACCCGAGCCACUGCCUAUUCACCCCGCUACUAUCCAGAAGACGAGAACCCUGCCUGACGGAGCACUGUCUGAGAUCCAUCCUCCAGACAGGAAGUACUUUACGGCUGAUGGCAGGUCCAUUACCCAGGGGCUGGAGGUUAAUGUCAUGGUAACAUCCCUUCCUGAUCUUGGUCUCCGAGGUACAUGAUGUCACAGACACUGAAGAGAGUAUGGGGUUGUCGAAAUGACUAUACAGUAAACACCAGAUAA